AAUGUGACAGUGUGUGACAGCAAUCAUGUCUCACCUCCUGCUUAAGCCAAAUGAUUACCUCUUAAAGCCACUUUACUAUGCAGGCUCUAGGCUAACUGAUGCCAAGUAGUGAUAAAAUGCCACACGCUAAACACAGUAACUCAUACUCUACAUUUCAACUAUGCAUAGGCAAUUGCUAAUCAAUGUUGUUUCUGCAAACCAAUGAGAAUUUCUGUCAAACAAUUUUGUGUCAGCCCACUCCUUGUUGCCUUUUGCCUUUAAAAACCUGCUUGCAAUCAUUGUGGAAUGGACCACUCCCCAAGGCAACUUGGAAGCCAGUUGCCCUCAACCUUGGCCCAAAUAAACUAUCUUCAUUCAUUUGGCCUCAGAUUCUUUUUUUUUUUUUUUUUUAGAUGGAGUUUUGCGCUUGUCACCCAGACCGGAAUGCAAUGGUACAAUCUUGGCUCACUUCAACCUCUACCCUCCGGGUUCAAGUGAUUCUUCUGCCUCAGUCUCCCAAGUGGCUGGUAUUACAGGCAUGAGCCACCACGCUCGGCUAAUUUUCGUAUUUUGAGCACAGACGGUGUUUCUCCAUGUUGGUCAGGCUGGUCUUGAACUCCCCACCUCAAGUGAUCCGCCAGCCUCAGCCUCCCAAAGUGCUGGGAUUACAGGAGUGAGACACCACACCCGGCUGGCCUCAGAUUCUUUAGGUCAAUGUUUUGUUUCCAUCUCUAGGCUAUUGCAGAUAAUUCUGCUGUGAACAUGGGUGUACAUAUAGCUGUUCAAGUCCCUGCUCUUAAUUCUUUUGGAUAUAUACCUAGAAGUAGAAUUGCUCGAUUGUAACAGUAAUUCUCUUUAAUUUUUUGAGGACCACCAUGCUGUUUUCCAUGGUAGCUGGACCAUUUUACAUUCCCACCAACAAUGCUCAAGGAUUACAGCUUCUUUGCAUCCUUGCCAUCCUGGUGGUUAUGACAUGGUAUCAUCUGCCACUUUUGAAUGGUGAAUACCUAAGAGAAAAAGCAGCUCCCAGUGUGAGGCUCACCUCCCUGCACUUUCUUUCUACUUGGAUCUUGGCCCAUCAAGUCCUCACUGCCUUUGGUAGUUCUCAUUCACACCUAUUUCUUUUCUUUCUUCUUCCUCUUCUUCUUUUUUUUUUUUUUUGAGACAGAAUCUCACUGUUGCCCAGGCUGGAGUGCAGUGGCACCAUGUCAGCUCACUACAACCUCCACCUCCCAGGGUUCAAGUGAUUCUCCUGCCUCAGCCUCCUAACUGGGAUUACAGGUGUGCGCCACUAUGCCCAGCUAAUUUUUGUAUUUCUAGUAAAGACAGGGUUUCACUGUGUUAGUCAGGCUGGUCUUGAACUCGUGAACUCAUGCUCUGCCCACCUCGGCCUCCCAAAGUGCUGGGAUUACAGGUGUAAGCCGCCAUGCCUAGUUAUUCACAGCUAUUAAAAGAACAUUUGGCCCAGCUUAGAGUUGUACUCACUAAGAGGUUUGUUGAAACAAGCCAUUGCUGCCCUUCCACACUUCUGGAAAAAAAAAAAGAGUAACUCCCUAACUCCUUGCAUCAUGGGGUUCUAAGAAAACCUAUAAGGUCAUUUUUGUGUUUGGGUUUUUGUUGUUGUUGCUUGUUUUAAGUAGAGAUGGGUUUGUUUUCCAGGGUGGUCUCAAACUCCUGGGCUCCAGUGAUCCUCCCGCCUUGGUCUCCCAAAGUGCUGGGAUUACAGACUCCUGAUAGCCGGGAUGAUACAGUGGGAGGUGCAGCCUGAGUGUGCAGUGUGGGCCUCCAUGGUGCCUGUCCAGGAGGACUGAGUUCACUGGGCAUGGGGAUACAGGCAACCUCACCAGCUUCGGGACCUUCUUGAGGAUGCUGCAGUUUAUGGGGAAACCUCUGAGCUCUUGUUGGAGCAGAAGUGACUGCAGCAGAGAGAAAGCCACGCAGCUGGCAGCAAACAGGUACUUAGGGUGAUUAACGAAUCUGAAAAUUCCCUCCUGCUUCAGCCUCAGCCUGCACCUGAGCUGUGGUCAGUGCAGCAGUACAUUUCUGCAUAAUCUCUUUUGACAACAGAGAGGGGGGCAAAUCCACAAGACUAACCCAAUUACAGCAAAAGAGAGAUCUGGCUGCUCCCUGUUGACAAAGUGAACACAAGGGCGUCCCUGUUCAGGGACGUGGUGCUUUAAGACCAGUGGGCUGCGGGCACAGGAAGUACUUUCCUGCUCCAGCAUCUUGAGAUAUUUUUGCUUUGUGACAAACAGUGGCUGUCACUCCUGGGCUGUGUCAAUUAGACACAACCUGCUUGACCCUCUGCACCCCCAGAGCUGGUUCUGAGAUACUUCAGCCCAGGAAGAGAUGUGCAAUGGUAAGAGCCCUCAUCCGGGAUCAGAAAAGUUGGGGGUCUCUUGUCCCUAUUUUGCUGUGUGGCCUUGAGUAGAGUGUUCAGUCUCCUUGGGCCUCAGCAUUCUCUUCUGUAACAUAAUAAGGUGUUAAAGUAGAUUACCCCCAGCUCCUCUUCUCUCUUAUUAACAAUCCUUGCAGGUAAAGAUUUAAGAGAAUUUUCAGUCUAUACUGUUUGUUUUACAGGCAGAGCUGUAAGAACAUAGGGCAGUGGGUAUAUACACCAAAACUAGGGUUGUGGUUUCAUUACAGAAGCCUAAA